GACGAACGCUGGCGGCGUGCCUAACACAUGCAAGUCGAACGGAAAGGCCCUGCUUUUGUGGGGCGCUUGUGUGGCGAACGGGUGAGUAACACGCGUGUAACCCGCCCCUGACUUAGGGAUAACUUCAGGAAACUGGGGCUAAUACCGGAUAGGAGCUCCUGCUGCACGGUGGGGGUUGGAAAGAUUCGGCGGUUGGGGAUGGAUUCGCGGCUUAUCCGCUUGUUGGUGGGGUAGUGGCUUACCAAGGCUAUGACGGGUAGCCGGCCUGAGAGGGUGACCGGCCACAUUGGGACUAAGGUACGGACCAGACUCCUACGGGAGGCAGCAGUGGGGAAUAUUGCGCAAUGGGGGGAAGCCUGUUACGGCAGCGCCGCGUGCGGGAUGCCGGCCUUCGGGUUGUAAACCGCUUUCGCCUGUGACGAAGCGUGAGUGACGGUAAUGGGUAAAGAAGCACCGGCUAACUACGUG
rnacentral:rRNA from 1 species